rnacentral:tRNA from 1 species
AGCGGCGGAGAACCGGUGUUCAAUCAGGUCCCAUAAGCCUGACUCUGUUGGUUCGACUCCAACCCCCGCUACCA